UAGCCAAAUACCAGAUCUACAAAAGGAGUAAGGAUUGUAGAUUAAGAUGAAGGCAAUUUAACAGUGAAAUACUAUGUAGAAGUGGUUAUUAUAAGUUGAUAAAAGGAACAAGUUGCCUUAUUAUAGACAUAUUUUAAUUCAUACUAAAAUAGAUAGUUAAGAAAUUCCUGAUUAUGUAUAUGUUGUGUUGUUCAGGAAGUUAAUACUUUUAAUCAUAAUGUGUUAUUUUACAGUAAUAUUUGAAGAUUUGUGCAAGUGAAUUAAAGUAAACUAUACAUGCUUGGAAAUUGCCACAUGAGACCACCUAGAAUGAACAGUUUAUGCAAACAGAAAACAUGUUCAGGAAGAAUGUAAAAUUUUAACACUUGUAAAUAGAAAGAAGUAAGAUGACAUUUGCCGCCUGCCUUUGUACUUUAUGAGGGUAUUUGCAAAUAAAUAUCAAAACAAGAAGAAAAUAUUAAAAUGACAAUUUGUGCCAUUGCCUUUGUCAACAUGUGGUAGUGCUGGAUUGCCUAUCCAACUCUGUAUUCCUAGCAGCCUUUAUGGAUUUUCAAACACUUCAGAGUCUUACUCAUCAGCAAAGGGUAGUGCAUUAACUAAUGGAAAUGAGAAGAUAUAAUUUCUGGUGGUUACCAAGUUGGAUAGAUAUUGGUUCUACCAGCCAUUAUAAUGAUCUGAAAGGUUGAAGAAGGUGUUGCAUGAACACUCCUGUGAAUCACUGUAAUAGAACUCUACUAAUUGGAUAAAGACUGGAAUGUUGAUUUGAAGACAAUUACUUUAUAAAGAUUCCCUCAUUGCCACUGUUGCAUUAACUCAAGAAGUAGAGACGCUACUAUGUGGAUAACAAUUGUAUGACUGGAUUGUCAUUGCCAUCAACUUAUUGUUUUCAUAAGUAUGAAGUAUGUUUCAUGAUAUUUUUUAAAUUAAUAAUAGGGAUUUUUAGUUGAUUUUUCUUUUUCUCAAAGGGUUUAAGUAAUGUGUAGCAUAGUCUGACUCGAGUGGUGACAUUACAGAAAUAUACCAAGUACAGUUAGAACAGUAUUGGAUGGAGCUAUAGUGCAUCCCAAAGUUUUAUUGGAUUUUAUUCAUAAAUACUUGUUAUAGCUGUAGCUUUUAAUGGCUUGAGAUAAUAACUUUACAGUUAUGUGUCAAAGUUAUUUUAAUUUGAAAUACAUUGACUAGAUAUAUCAAGUCUACAUUUGAUCAAAUGCCUUAGCAGGAUUAAUGAAUUUGGCCAUUAAAAUGACAGGAAUUUUAGUCAGCAGUACUCUCAUAUAUUUAUGUAUUUAUGCAUUUAUUUAUGUAUUUAUUAAAGCAUCAUGCUACUCACUUUUGUUCAUUGUUUAUAAGUGCGUUUGUAAAUGAGUCUGUAAUCAGGUCAUCAUGCAUGUUAGAUGGAAUACUAUGUGUUUUCUAUUCACUCUGUUUUAUUACUAAUUUGUACAUAAAUUAUUCAUUAAAUACAAAAUGUUCUUUCUCAUACCAUA